UGCGGUAAGCUAGCUGCUCUGGUUGCGGUAAGCUAGCUGCUCUGGUUGCGGUAAGCUAGCUGCUCUGAUUGCGGUAAGCUAGCUGCUCUGGUUGCCGUAAGCUAGCUGCUCUGGUUGCCGUAAGCUAGCUGCUCUGGUUCCGUUUUGUUAAACUGAAAAAAAUUACGUUUGAACACUUCACUAGUGAGUCUCUUGGUUUGAACAGCGGACAAAAGGCAGCAGAUCGAGGGACGAGGAGCGCAGCAGAAAGACCGACAGCGGUUUGAGACGUGUUGUGAGCCCGAGGUUCUGCACAGACGCACAUCAAUACUCGCUGAGCCGCGUCUCUCAUCUCGAAGUCUGACAAGGAAAACCGCAACGCUUGUGAUUAAAUGACCCACAAGAAAAGAAAAGAAGAAAGAACCGAUUAAACUCUUCACUCCGUCUGCGGCGGCUGCGUUGACGACUGUCCAUCGAGGCCGAACCAGACGCGCUGCGAGUCGCAAAAGGAACUUAAUGGUGUUUGUCGGACUCGUGUAACGGAAGUGAACGCCGUCGGGGGACCGACAACAUUCCCGGAAAACCGUCCGAAGUUGGGCUCAGUCAACAGGAAGUUUGGGAAGAUUCAACCGCGAUUCGUCCCUCGAGAAUCCGAGGAGAAAUCUGGUCUGGAACCUUUGGUACCGAUGUUCAUCCCAGAAUAUCCGGUGGCGUGAGAGUCGAUCUUAAACCUCCUGAACUGCUCGCAGAAUUAAUCAUCGGGUAGCCCCCAGAUAAAUGUCGAGGCUUCUACAAUGGCAUAUCAGGGCCAUUGUACGAAAAAAAACUUGUAUAUUCUCUGAGAUUAAAGUCGUAAA